rnacentral:rRNA from 1 species
UACAGAGGGUGCGAGCGUUAAUCGGAAUUACUGGGCGUAAAGCGUGCGUAGACGGUUAUUUAAGUCGGGUGUGAAAGCCCCGGGCUCAACCUGGGAAUUGCAUUCGAGACUGAAUAGCUAGGGUACGGUAGAGGGAAGCGGAAUUUCCGGUGUAGCGGUGAAAUGCGUAGAUAUCGGAAGGAACAUCAGUGGCGAAAGCGGCUUCCUGGACCA